rnacentral:misc_RNA from 1 species
UUUCCGUAGGUGAACCUGCGGAAGGAUCAUUACUGAGUGCGGGCUGCCUCCGGGCGCCCAACCUCCCACCCGUGACUACCGAACACUGUUGCUUCGGCGGAAGCCUCCCCCCCCGGGAGCGCCCGCCGGAGACCACUGAACUUCUUUGUUUUAAGCAUGAUCUCUGAGCUUGAAUAAGCAAAAUUAAUUAAAACUUUCAACAAUGGAUCUCUUGGUUCCG